UACGUAGGGUGCGAGCGUUAAUCGGAAUUACUGGGCGUAAAGCGUGCGCAGGCGGUGAUGUAAGACAGAUGUGAAAUCCCCGGGCUCAAACUGGGAACUGCAUUUGUGACUGCAUCGCUGGAGUGCGGCAGAGGGGGAUGGAAUUCCGCGUGUAGCAGUGAAAUGCGUAGAUAUGCGGAGGAACACCGAUGGCGAAGGCAAUCCCCUGGGCCUGCACUGACGCUCAUGCACGAAAGCGUGGGGAGCAAACAGG
rnacentral:rRNA from 1 species